UUAAAAACAGAUAUCUGUAACCUAAUAUCCUUUUGUUGAGUUGAUUUGACUUUAAAAAUGCUCACAGGUUGCUAAGCGGUCUGCUCCACAAACAGAAAAGGAUGCGGACCAAACGUCAGUUUAUUUUAUAACUUUUAAUGAGGAAAGAUGCGGCGGAGAUGGAUGGCAGCCGUCAAUCAUAGCGACUGGCAGCUGACGAUAAUAAUGACGGUCAGCCCUCGGUGUAACCGCGGAUUUACAGCAAACACUUUACAAGCAUAAAAUGGAGACGGUGAGGCAGAGAUGAACCGAGGCAGUUGGAAGGAAAACGACCAGCGGGGACGGAGUGAUGGAGUGGAGGCAGAGCAGCUGAGAUUAAUAAACUACGAGAUGAAUGAGCGACUGCAGGAGUUACUAAACAGAGAAGGCAGGAGGACAAAGAUGGAGGAGCGUGGAGGAAUGAAAUGUUAAAGGAUGAGUGAUGAGACGGAGAACCUCCUACGUGAAAUAAA